AUAAAUGAGGACAGAUUUGACUGAUUGCAACCUCCCAAAAAAAUGCUAAAGGCAGUAUC
rfam:Cryomorphaceae bacterium BACL21 MAG-121220-bin10 contig00147_1_121220-bin10, whole genome shotgun sequence.